GCCGGGUGUUGUGGCGGGCGCCUGUAGUCCCAGCUACUUGGGAGGCUGAGGCAGGAGAAUCGCUUGAACCCGGGAGGCAGAAGUUGCAGUGAGCUGAUAUUGUGCCACUGCAUUCCAGCCUGGGUGACAGAGAGAGACCCUGUCUCAA
ensembl:misc_RNA Metazoa_SRP Metazoan signal recognition particle RNA